CUCCAUAUUUCUCUUUUUCCAAUAACAAAUAGUAUUCUCGGAUGGUAUCCACAGUGACACUCUCUCAUUCACUUCUCAAUUUGUACUUAAACUUUCACUCUGACACCUUCCAAUAAAGUCCUUCCUACAUUCACUCCUAAGCAAACUUGCACACCAAUCUCCAUGAUGAAUAACAAUACAAAUUGGAAAAUGUAUUAAAAUAGUGCAACCAUGUCAAACAAAUCCUCCUUUGUGGCCAUCAACUUCAAAUUUUGAGAUUUAGCUUCCAUCUCAGUGAGCAAGAUACAUCUUAAUCCUAUCAAUUUACACUUGAAGGACUGGGAUUCUCCGCAGCAUUCUCCAAACUGCUUCCGAGGGGCCGUUCUCCUGAUAUUCUACACUCCAACAGUGCAACAAAUUAGGGUUUGGAACAAUGAACCUUGACUGCUAGACCGAAGCAUUUUGCCCUAAUUUCAACAGCUUGGCGCACAGGAAAAAGUGAAGAAAUCCAUGCUUCCAUUUGUGGGAAGAAUUUGAGGCGCAAUGGCCACCUCGUCAGAAACUCUACUUCGCACCAUCAGGCAGUUUUUUGGAGUCUGACAACCUUCGGAAAGGCAUAUGACGGCGGAAAUAUUCACGCGUCUGGAUUGGAUAGGGUUCUGAAAUCGAUUGCCUGCUGCCACGAGAGAGGUGAACAGUAUGUGACAACAAAGCUAGGACUUUAGGACAAACUACUAUCUGGCUGCAAUUUUUCAAAAGCUGAAAAAGGCAGCUAUCUUACUUGGAAACAGACCGAACAGUGGAUUGCAUGAGGUUUGUAAAUAUUACCUAUUUCUUUUUGCAAACAUGAUUGAAGAAAUAGAGCAUGCUUUACGAGGUAUGGAGAUAGAAUGCAACCAUCGAACAUUAGCAAUGGAAGUCUAACAUUAUGAUUUAGACCAAAAGGAACGUUGUGCACAGACGGAGGGUAGUGGUCCUGAUUCAAUGAAUUGAUAAAUGUUGAGUUGGUGUAAGAAUAGUUACUAAAUUUGAGAACAGAUCGAAUGUGAUAAACUUGGCUUGAAAUAAAC
rnacentral:lncRNA from 1 species